rnacentral:rRNA from 1 species
ACUACGGGAGGCUGCAGUGAGGAAUAUUGGUCAAUGGACGAGAGUCUGAACCAGCCAAGUAGCGUGAAGGAUGACUGCCCUAUGGGUUGUAAACUUCUUUUAUAUGGGAAUAAAACGCUCCACGUGUGGGAUUUUGUAUGUACCAUAUGAAUAAGGAUCGGCUAACUCCGUGCCAGCAGCCGCGGUAAUACGGAGGAUCCGAGCGUUAUCCGGAUUUAUUGGGUUUAAAGGGGGCGUAGGUGGAUUCUUAAGUCAGUUGUGAAAGUUGGCGGCUCAACCGUAGAAUUGCAGUUGAAACUGGCAGUCUUGAGUACAGCAGAGGUAGGCGGAAUGCGUGGUGUAGCGGUGAAAUGCUUAGAUAUCACGAAGAACUCCGAUUGCGAAGGCAGUUCACUGGACUGCAACUGACACUGAGGCUCGAAAGUGUGGGUAUCAAACAGGAUUAGAUACCCGAGUAGUC